GAUGAACGCUGGCGGCGUGCUUAACACAUGCAAGUCGAACGAUGAACCGGGUGCUUGCACUCGGGGAUUAGUGGCGAACGGGUGAGUAACACGUGAGCAACCUGCCCCUGACUCUGGGAUAAGCGCUGGAAACGGCGUCUAAUACUGGAUAUGUCCCGUCACCGCAUGGUGUGCGGGUGGAAAGAUUUUUCGGUUGGGGAUGGGCUCGCGGCCUAGCAGCUUGUUGGUGAGGUAAUGGCUCACCAAGGCGUCGAAGGGUAGCCGGCCUGAGAAGGUGACCGGCCACACUGGGACUGAGACCCGGCCCAGGCUCCGACGGGAGGCAGCAGUGGGGAAUAUUGCACAAUGGGCGGAAGCCUGAUGCAGCAACGCCGCGUGAGGGGUGACGGCCUUCGGGUUGUAAACCUCUUUUAGCAGGGAAGAAGCGAGAGUGACGGUACCUGCAGAAAAAGCACCGGCUAACUACGUGCCAGCCGCCGCCGUAA
rnacentral:rRNA from 1 species